rnacentral:rRNA from 1 species
GAUGAACGCUGGCGGCGUGCUUAAUACAUGCAAGUCGAACGGAGAGCCUUUGUAGCAAUACGAGGGUUUCUUAGUGGCGAACGGGUGCGUAACGCGUUGGUGACCUGCCCCAAAGUGUGGGAUAACAGUCCGAAAGGAUUGCUAAUACCGCAUGUGGUCCUCCGGGUUAGAGGCUGGAGGUCUAAAGCAGUAAUGCGCUUUGGGAGGGACCUGCGUCCCAUCAGCUAGUUGGUGAGGUAACGGCUCACCAAGGCUACGACGGGUAGGGGACCUGAGAGGGUGGUCCCCCA